rnacentral:rRNA from 1 species
GACAGAGGGUGCAAACGUUGUUCGGAAUUACUGGGCGUAAAGCGCGCGUAGGCAGCAGCGUGUGUCGGGCGUGAAAUCCCACGGCUCAACCGUGGAAGUGCACUCGAAACUGCGCAGCUAGAGUCUCGGAGAGGAAGGCGGAAUGCUUGGUGUAGAGGUGAAAUUCGUAGAUAUCAAGCGGAACACCGGUGGCGAAGGCGGGCCUUCUGGGACCGAUGACUGAC